UGCCCCUUGGUCCCACCUAGCGAGGACCCCUAAGAUGGCGGCCAUCGCGAUGCCUGUGCGCAAGUCGCAACGGAUGCACUUGUCACGAAGGACACAAGACAGAAGCUCUGUCCCAGACGCUCUCGAGUUACGUUGAGACUGAGGAUUCCCCAAUCUUCCACAAUGGACUUCACAUAGGAUGAACUGUUUCCAGUUUCAGCAAAACAGCAAGAAUUUAUGAAUGGAUGACUGCACCUUAGCACUCUUCACUCCCACUGCAUGCCUCACCUGGGCCACAGAGAAAACAAUGUUGCUGCCUGUACAUGGCACAUUUAACCUCUAACCUUACAGCUGAAUCAAUGCAGUAACACUGUUAACUACCAAUGAUAUUGUACCAAAUGUUCAGACUGAAUAUACAGAGGAGAACUGGUCCCCAGUGUUUUUGGUUAGUCUGGUUUCUCCAAAGGUUUUUUUUACUCCAGUAUCGACAUCUUACAGUUUUUUCUUAAUUAACCCGUUGCCUUUGGCUUGCUUGCUGUAUGUAUGACGACUAAUGCAUUUAACACCAACUAUUAAAACAGUGAGGGUGUUUUUGACAACAUAGACACAAUAGUAUGUCUUUCUGUAAAGAUUCUUUGAAAAUGUUAUGCAUUUUGAAAAAUGUAUAAAUGUCUUACAUAGAUA